CUUUCUCUGUAUUAUCCUAUCUCAUAAUUUUUCAUAGCCCUAAGUAUCUCUUCUCUAAAUUUUCUCUCUUCAAUAAACUUUUCUUUCUGUUAGUAAGCUGCAUCUACUAUGAUUGCCUGUUUCUCUUGCAGUGGAACAGGUGAUACGAACAGAUGCGAAAUUGAAAGGUUCCUCAAUGGACUGGCAUAGUCCCAAUUUUAAUGGAUUUUUGCUAUUUCUCGUAGGAUUCACAAUGUCUAAUCUUUUGUACAGAUUUCGCUCUUCUAUUUUCUGGGUCUCGGUUAUCGUUUUCUAAAAUUAAGAAAUCAUUCGCCAGCGAAGAUUUUUCUUUUUAGUUCUUAUAUUCUUUUCGGCUUCGAUUAUUAUUUCCUAAAAUUGACGGGUUCGUGGUCAAAUUUGCAUCUUUGUUUGGCUUUAAUUAUUUUGUGUUAUUCUUUUUUAUGUUUUUUUUAUCUGGGUGUAUAAAUAUGUAUGUGAUUGCUCGAUGAUGAUUCUUUUGCUUUAACCACACCGAAGAGAUGCUGGAUGGGGUUUUAGGGGUCAUUUCCUUUUAAGAUUUGAUGUGAUCUUAUUGUGCUUGGUUUUGCCUGGUGACUUCGACUUCUAACUUAAGAGGUAUUUGGUUACCUUUUCUUUUAGAGAUCGGGAGAGGGCUUUUUCAAGCACUUCAAGGGACUCAGCUUAAAUUGGAGGGAUCUUUACCUAUCUCAAGUUUUCUCAUGUGGAAAAAACUGGCCUUUCAACUGAGAGCAAUCAACCACUACACCUACUCUUUAUGUCAUUGAAUUUAGUUUUUGAUUCCCUUGUAAUUUUCAGUUGUUUAUUUGUUUCAUGGUGGCUAUUGUUUAUUCAAGCCUUUUACUGUUUAUCCUAUUUGAUUUUGGUCUUCAAAAUUUUUAAUUGAAGAAUUUUGUCCUUUAACUUUAAAAAUUAUAUAAAAUUGGUUAUUUUAUUUUCUUGAUAAUAAAAUAUCAUUCCUAAAUAUUAAGUUUUAAAUUUUAGAAGUAACCAAAUAAUUGCACAUGAUUUUGAAAUUUUAAACUAGAUUUACCCAUUCGAAUGUAAGGAUACAAAUGAAGUCCAGAUAGAAAGUAUUGCAUAUUGUUUCUCUGUAUUUUUGCGUUAGAACUCUUGUAUGUUGAAAUAGUAAGGUGUAUUUCUACAGCGACCCUAAUAUCAGUUAUAGUUUUAUAUUGGUAUUAGUUAACACCAUGAGGCAUUAUAGUGUUAAAAUGUAAAGUAUAUUUAUAUGGUGCUAAAGUUCAAUGGAUUGGAGAGAAUUUAGGGUGUUGGAGAAGGAGUUGGUGCUGCAGACUUGACUGAUGUGAAGAGAAGGGAGAAAAACUUUUCUGCAAGAACAGCAUUGGCUGCAUCUGAUGGAUGGAAGGCAUCCCAAAAUACAAACUCAUGGCGGUUUUUGCAGACCUUUGAGUUUGGCAAGCACAAACCUCCAAUACUCGUGUCUACGUUGCAACAUGACGUGUUUGAAUCCUUAAAACCUGCUAAAUCGUUAAUUAAAAGCAUUUGUUAUGUACAGCCAGAAGAAAAUGCCACAUGAUUUCAUUUUAACUAAGUGGGUUGAAAUAUUUUUUAGUCAUACCAUAGCCAUGUUUUUUUAUUAUAUUAAAUAGAAGAGAUGUCAAAUUAUUACCGUAAGUAGAGGGAUUAUUGAUCAAGUCAAGAACUAACGGAAUCCAUUCAUUGAUUCGCUUUAGACAUUGGCCACGUUUGGAUUUGACCCUCUGUGAUGGAAUACAACCGAGUGGACCUAAGCCAUGGAAAACUAUUUUUCGUGCUCCCAGUUGAUAAAGACUCUGGUAUAAUCAGUUUCUUUAGUUGUUGAUUGAACUAUAUGUAGAUGUAUGAUGAUACUGAUGUGAAGAAGUAUUUCUUACUAGAACAUAGUUUGUUCAGAUAUUGUAUAAAGUUCUGCAUUGAUUUUUACCUGAAGUUGUUGAUCUAAGGUUGAGAUUAAGAGCUCUAUGAACUCUUCAUGAGUGUAUUGUUGGCCAUCUGGCAGAAAGGGUUGCAAGAAAUUGUUGACGUAAUCAUUGCUGCCUGACAAAGAUUGCAGGACAUGGGAAAUCAAAGGAUUUAACAUUCAAAGCAAUAUUAGUAGAACAAGGAGCAGCUGCUAGAGCAAUUGCUGCCAUAGAGAAGAUACAAGCAGCAAAAACCAGCCUUGACAUUGGCAGAUUUGUUUUUUCAACCUUCUACUGCUGAACAUAUAGAAUUGAGUCAUGGUUUUUAUAGCAGUAUUGCAUUCAAGUUCUGCACUGUUGUGUCAAUUCUUCAAGCAUGCGUGUUAGUUGCUUAUUUUCCAAACCACAUUGACAUUGAAACUGAAUGGUUUAUCUCUUCUUACUGUGAUAAAAUCAUAAAACUUAGUGGUUGGAUUCUCUUUAAGAGGAGUUGGCCAACAAAGAACAUUAGAGUCAGCAAUGUUAGCUUUUACUGAUUCACUACUUUAAAUGGCGCACGGGCACACAUUCGUGUUGCAUUUUCUGUUUGGUGUCUCACUCAAUUCUUUUACUUGCUGAAGGUUAAUUGAAGGACAAGCAAAUCCUCUUUGUCAAAG
rnacentral:sRNA from 1 species